GCAAACCCAGUUGUUCCAAAUCGUUGGCUUCCAACUGAGAAGCUUCUCCAAUUCACAAUUUCUGUAAAGGUACACACUUCUCUUCUCAUCAAUUAAAUCCAUUGAAAAUACCAUAUAAUUUGUAAAAGUGCUGAGCUAAAAAACUAAGAAGCUUCUGCUCAGUAAGUGCUUGAUAAAAAUCCUGAUUAAAGAACAUGAUAUGAUUUUAUUGCGAUUUUCCCAUUAUUCAUUGCAAUUUGUUUUGUUUGAUGAUUAUUACCUGUUUAUUUCUCUGCAUAAAUUUCAUGGCAUUACUCCUUUUACCCUCCCCAAAUCUUAUUUUUUGUUAUUCCAAUUUGACCUUGAGAUGGUUAUUUAUACUAAAGAAUGAGUUUUUUAGGAAGAGGAGGGAACCUUGAUUGGACUCGAAUAUUAAUCUUGAAGCAUAUAAAAGGUUCAUAUUUAUGUUUUAAUUUUGGAUCAACUGUAGUACUCCUUUGUUACAUCAAAGAGUUUAAUCUGUGUAAUUUUAGGGAACAACUUUAGUUUCAUACAAUUAUUGUUGAGUUUUGGUUUCAGGCAUUUGAGGCACCUGUAUUUGAGCAUCCAGAGGUAGACCUAAAAAAGUAGCUUCAAUUAUUCUGGGUGGAUGUGUUUGGACCCGUCACUUUCUCUCACUAACAAAAGAGCUAAACCAACUGUAGGUGACUUACCAUGUUUCCUUUGCAAUAAAUUUUCACAUUUUGGUUGCUUAUUGUAAAUUGAGUUGUUUUGGGAUGCAUGUGUUAUUUCCUAAUUGGCAAAUUAUGGUGAAAUUAUAUGCCCUUUACCAAUAAUCAAAUUAGUGUUUCUAUAUGUACUUGAUUUAAAUUUCCGUCAAUAAUGGUAACCAAACUGAUAGUCGCUUUUAGAAAAUAUAGCAAAGAAAAACUAAAAAUCGAGAACAAAAACUGAAUUAGAUAACAUAAAACAGAGAUGGUAUUUUCUGAUGAUUUUUUGUAAGGAAAGUUUCUAUGGUUCAUGUAAUAUAUAUCAUUGGCCUAUUUUUGUGUUCACUUUUGAAAUGCCAUGAAAUUGGUCAAAGCAAAGAUAUACAGUUUCUGCUGUAGUUAGUAAUCGGUUAUUAUAUUUUACACGAUUAUGCAAUUGACAAUUGAGUUUGCAAGUAUUUAUUUGGGGAUGCACAACAUUCAAGGUCACUAUUUCAAAAUAUUAGUACUGUAACCUACAAAAACUUCAAUUUGUUUAAGGAACACAUAAGAAUUCUCUAUCAGUGACAUAUAGAUAUUAUAUUUUUCAGGCAUUCUUACUAGAAGUUUUUUGAAACUGUCUGUUUUUACCAUCUUGGUAUGAACCAACAUGCUACAAGUGUAUGUUUCUAAUCACACACAAGUUUAAUGUCUGUAUUUUAUUGUUAAUUACUUUCUCAAGUUGUACUCAGUGUCAUGCUCUUACGCACAUGGUUUAUCAAUUGCUUUGUAUCAACAGUGGCAUAAGAAAUAUUUUCAUCCUAACCCAGUUCAAUUCCUUCUCUCUCAAUCGUCACCUAG
rnacentral:lncRNA from 1 species